rfam:Flavonifractor plautii ATCC 29863 genomic scaffold Scfld93, whole genome shotgun sequence.
CAAGCAAGCUGGACAGCCGCGCGGACGGGGCGAAAGGCCUGUCUGUGAGGAAAGUCCGGGCUCCGCAGGGCAAGGAUAACGGGUAACACCCGCCGGGGGCGACCCUAGGAAAAGUGCAACAGAAAUAGUCUGCCGGCCUCUGGCCGGUCAAGGUGGAAAGGUGAGGUAAGAGCUCACCCGACGGCGUGCCAAGCGUCCGUCGCUGUAAACUCUAUCCGGAGCAACGCCGUGGAGGGACAUAUGGUCGGCCCGACCGUCCCGGGGAGGCGGCUGGAGCGUACUGGCAACGGUGCGUCGAGAUAGAUGGCUGUCUUAAAGGACAGAACCCGGCUUACAGGCUUACUUGCAGA